UUUAAUGACAUUUUUUUUAUGGCAUUUUAGCAAAAACGUCAUUAAAAAGUAUUUUAAUGACGUUUUCAGGUUAAAACGCCAUGAAUAAUUUGAUAGUGAAAAAUUUAUGACACUUUUGAAACGCCAUAAAAACUUUUAAAUACCAUGACGUUUUAUAAAUGCCAUCAAAAAAAAAUAGACGGCGUCUGUUAGACGCCAUAAUUAUAGGCGAAAUCCAUGGCGUUUGUAAACGUCAUACUUAAGAAACUUUAAUUUUUUCAAUUUGCCCGCCCGCGCCUAGCCUAUUUUUCUGUUCAGUUUCACACAUCCCAAUUAACUUUAAUUUUAUUUUUCUUCUAUUUUCUUCUCGUUCUCUCUCUCUCUCUCUCGCUCCCACCCACCCUCUAUCCCUUUUCUUCUCGAUCUGAAGCAAGAAGCAGAAACAACUGGAUUUUUAACCUCGGUCUUUUCCAUUCACUUUAUCGUCUCUUUCUUCCUGAACAUGCUACGGCAAGGCCGAUCCCCAUAUCAAGUCAACGUUCUUUUGCAACAAGAAGAAGAAGAGGCUGAGUUGCUCUCUAUCGAAAUUUCACAGGUAUCAAAGAGCCAAACCCAUAAUUAUGUUGUAUAUGACAAAGAAAGCUAAUGCUUUUUGGGUUACACAGCGCAUGACUGUGCUAGCAGUUUUCAAGCUUUUUACAGAUGACUUAAUCAUCUCUAACUUGUCAUGUAUUGAGUCGAUCUCUGAAGUUCCACACUUCCAAGGAUUGAAAGCUGUUGAAUUUUUCUAUAGGUCAUUCAAGUGCUCAUCCAUGAAUCUUAGGAUGGUGAAAAAUGGAAUUAGAUGCCCAACUGCAUCUGAUCUUUUACCCAAAAAAAUAAUACUUGUGAUUUGAACCAUAAAAAGGAAGUCAUUCUAUCUUUUGCUCUGCCUCUGAAUGCUGGCUCUAUUGCUGACUGUCUUCAAUGAAUCGCUUGCAAUAACAGAAACACAAGCACAUGGGGCUGAAAGCUGUCAUUGGAUUUGGCUAUAUUUCCUAUAAAAUUUUUGAUGGACGAGUUGCUAAACUCCACCACUUCCAAUGGCAGCAGUUGCUAAUCACCACCACUUCCAAUAUACUCUGGUUUAGCUAGGCUAAAGCAACAUGUGUCAUCUUUUUUCUCUCUUCUUUCUCUUAGCUUACAUAUAUGUUAUGUGUAGAUUACAUUGAUGGAAAUAUUGUAGAUUGGGUAUUUCUUCUUUUGUUAAUUCAAUGGUACAUAGUAAUAGAGUUUUGUUA